rnacentral:lncRNA from 1 species
UGUCCAAAUAAAAAAAUUAUUAUGAAAGGGUAAUAUUGUAAAAGUAAGCCAAAAGAAAUAAAAAGUAACGGUAGGGGUAUCAAUACUUUAACGGUAGGGAUGUUUCGAGGCAUUUUUAAAAAUAUAGGGACUAAAUGUAUACUAAUCUUAAAAUAUAGGGACUAAAUGAGCUUUUACCCCAUUAAACCACGCUCUCUGAGGUCGCGCGUGUUUCAAACAGCCCUUGUUAUUGGAAUAAUAUAUUCAAGGGAUAAUUAUCAGGAAUGAAAGAAAUCUCUGAUGAUAGUGCAGUUUUUUAGUUAAUCAAUAAUUGUAGGCGAAUAAAAAAUUGAAAAUAAUUUUACCUUCGUUGGUUACCUUUUAUGAUCUCUCAAUAGAAUGUUUUUUUUCUAAGUUUUAAUCUCAAAAAGUCUAACCCCUUUACCUUUAUUGGUUAUCUUUUUAUAACAUUCCUUUGAAUCCGGCCUUUCCUACAAUCCACGUCUAUCACUUCCCUCAACUCAAGGAAGUGGGUGCUUGAUUAUCGUAAUUGUGGCUGAGUGGACUUCGUGCCUUGAUUUUCGAGCAGGAGUGUGCGUCUUGUCAACCGCCAUUGACCGUGUCUACCCAUUUCAACCUCUAGCAGGAAUGGUCUUAAGCUCCUAGUAGGAGGCCGGCAACCGCUGUGGUCUCGUGGAGGGUGCAUUCACAAACGAGCAAAAUAUUUCUGUUCGUGGAAACCUGCUAUUAGACAUCUACUCAUCUACUCCAUUAUAAGGAGGCUGGCUCAUCGUGGAGGGUGCAUUCGUGAACAAGCAAAAUAUUCCUGUUCGUGGACACCUGCUACCAGACAUCUGCUCAUCUGCUCCAUUAUAAGGAAACUAACUCAUCGUCCAGGGCAUGGCUGGUCUUGUUGAAGUAUAUCCCUCAAAAAAUACUUACCACCAUUAUAUAUUAUAAUAUCGUCAAAUUUUUAUUAUGUUUUUUUUUCAAGUUGUUAUAUAUUAAGGUACCACCAUUUAUUUUUUUGGAUUGAAAUGAGAAUUUUAGGAUUGAAAGUGUGGGGUGGAAGUGAGAAUAUGUUAUUUAUUUACACUCGAAUAAGAGUGUGGAGUAUGAAUCAAAAUUUCAUGUAUAUGUUUACUUUGUCCAUGUUUGGUAUUAAAGUGUUGUGACUUUUAAAUUAUAGCUGCUGGUGGAAAAAAAAUGUAAUUAUGGAAUAAAAGUUAAUAUGAUGCAGUAAAUAAAAUUUUUAAAUAAUAAUUUUGACAAAAUUGAUGAAGAUAUAAUAAAUUUUUCAUCAUACAAGUAUAAAAUCAAAGCGACUUAACUUCUAAGUUACACCAAUUAGAGUUUACAAAAUAUUUAAAUGUUGUAACUUAGAAGUUACAACUGUCUAAUCUCACUCCCAAAGAAGCAUUUUGUCUUGGACUGAGAGUAGAUUGUCUCAAAUUAUAAUUUUAUCUUUAUUUAAAAAUAUGUAGUUUUUAAUUAUAAAAUGAAUCAAAAAUAU